UACGUAGGGUGCGAGCGUUGUUCGGAAUCACUGGGCGUAAAGGGCGUGUAGGCGGCUUUGCAAGUCGGAAGUGAAAGCCCACGGCUCAACCGUGGAACUGCUUUCGAUACUGCAUUGCUUGAGUACGGGAGAGGAAAGCGGAAUUCCCAGUGUAGAGGUGAAAUUCGUAGAUAUUGGGAAGAACACCGGUGGCGAAGGCGGCUUUCUGGACCGAUACUGACGCUGAGACGCGAAAGCGUGGGGAGCAAACAGG
rnacentral:rRNA from 1 species